AGCGAGCACGGAGGCCCGCCACUCACUGCCGGCUCCUUCUGCGUUUGACUUUUCUACUCGGUGAAAUGCGAGUCAGCUUCAUCCCUUCUGUUUAGGGGUGAAAAUCCGGAAGGGAAUCCUACUUUGAAAUGACUUUGGCUCUUCCGUAUACCUGAAACAGUGGCCCAGGCCAGGGCGCUCCAAACAACCUUACUCUUGUAUAAGUUCCUCACUUUUGAUAAAGGCAAAUCUUUAAACAUGAAAAUGAAUGAACAGAGGUUUGAUUAAAAAUUGAUAAGGAAAAGAAAAGCAAAACUUGAAAUCCUUUUAUACAAAAAUGAAUUCCCAAAUGAGAAAAAAAUCCUUGGACAGACUCACGCCCUGACUUUCAUUAAGGCAAGUCCCCGUCAGACUCCGCAGCCCCUGAGUUACGACAGCUGCUCCACAAACGGGACAUCCACGUAAUGGAUCAAGGCCAUUAUCUGCGAUCAAUUACCCACAUCUCUACCAUGUGUGUGCAGCCCCGCGCUGACUGCUGGUUCUAAACAUACAGUUAUAUUACAGAGCUUUUUAAAAA
rnacentral:lncRNA from 1 species